UUUUGCUAAUUUACGUACGGACGAAAACAAUUCGCUUUCAUCCGUUUUCUGUGCCGUGCGAUCUGCGCGCCGAGAUUCGUGUGUUUCUUUUUUUUUCGUCCGGUUUCUUCUGGUUUCUCUUAUCGGCCCGUCUAGUUGACCCGUUAAUUUCCACUCGCCCCCAAUGUCGGUCGUCCUCCUCCUCCCAGAGAGAUAGCGCCAUGGUGAUUGGGAGCUCCGCCUCGCCGCUCGAUCCAAUUGUUUGGUGGUGACUCGUCCAUGCCUCGGGCUGUCCCGUUCCCUCCUCCUCCCUUCUGUGUCUGCCGCCGGUGUCUGCGGCAUCUCUCGGCCCCGCACACACCCGUCCCCAUUUUCCGUCGCCGCUUCUAUUCGUCGGAUCCGUAGCUACUCAUUUGCUGAGCAAUACCACAGUUGUUUACUGUGUUCUCAUGGAUAGCUAGACACCUAUGGGUUGUUGGCUAGCUGUUCAAUUCAAACAUGGAGGGAAAAGCUUCAGGGGUGUUAGGCGUGAGCAUUUUGGUGGCUCUCGCUCGCCUUUGUGCCUCUGAAAUAAGUUGUCUGGUAUGAGCUUUUGUCUACAUGCCCAACCCUUGUUAAUGUGUGUGUGAAGUGUGGCUUGCAUCCAGCUGGCCGCUUGCUUGUGUGGAUUGAUGGGUGUUUGCAAUGGGUUUUGAAACACUAGUACUAGUAAUUAAGAAGCAGCCAUUAUCUAUGUGGCCGCGGUGUGAGUGUGAUCCUCUCCUCAUACGAGUGUUUGGCAUGUUGUAUUUUGAACUAAGAAGCACUUGUGUGUGCCUGUAUGCUUGUCAUAUAUCCAUUUGAAAUAAGCAGGCAAGCAACUACUUGCCAAGUAACAACCAUCCCUUUACAUUCUAUAUUUUUGCAGGGUUGUCCAUGUUUUUCAGUAUUGUGUUGUUUCAGUUAGUGGUUCAGCUAGUGUUUGUUAUGUUGUUAGGAGGUGGGAGUUUUUGAAAUUCUCACUAACAUUCAUGGAGGAAUUCCAGCAGUUUUACGUGUCAGUUCACUGUAAAUCUAGUAUAUUACACUGUAAUCCAACUUCAAUUAUACUGUAGAACUCACCUGUAAUUCAUCUGUCAUUUGCACUAUAAUACUACUAUUCUUACACUGUAAAUCUAGUGUAAAGUGUCACUGGGAAUUGCAUUAGUUAUACUGUAUAUUACACCAUAUUUACGGUGUAAUUGUACUGUAUAUUACACUGUAAGACUCACCGCAUUUCUACUGUAUAAUUCUACUAGAAAUUACACGGCAAAUCACAUGCUCAAUCUAUUGGAAUUAUACUGUAUCUUUUACACUGUAAUUCUAUUGCAAAUUACACUGUAAAUCUACUAUAAACUACACCGUAAAUCUGCUGAAAUUACAGUGUAAACUACACUAUUUACACUGUAGUUCUACUGUAUUUUUUACACUGUAAGUCGACAGUGUAAUUCAAAUUGUAAAACUGUAAAUAUUGUGGUUUAAUAUAACUGCAGAAUUUUGCACUCUAAAUUACACUGUAAAUCGACUCUGUUUUGACUGUAAAUCUAUUGUAAAUUAUACUGUUAAUUUACUAUAUUUCUACUGUACAUCUACUGUAAUUUACAUUGUAUUGUGAGUCUACUCUAAUUUCCAGUGCAAUUCUGGAAAGUAAUUGUACUGUUCAAUGCAGUAAUUUCUAGCAAGUAACAGUGCUAGUAAAUAGCAUUUCCUAGUCUUUUUACAAUGUAAUUUCUGUUAUGUAGUUGUGUAAUUUUUUUUUCAGAUUUUCACUGUAAGUACUGAUUUCUUCCUUUUGCCACGUAGAAACCUAGAUUGUCCUGAUUCAUAAUUCAUGGAAACUUAUGUUGUUGUAUCCUUUAGUAUUAAUUUUGUGGCUUCUCAUGGUUGCUUUUCACUGUAAUUCUCAGUUGAUUGCAAUAUAAUUCCUUUUUGGAUUUACAGUGUAAUUCCUUUUGUAUUUACAGUGUAAUUCCUUUUGGAUUUACAGUGUAAUUGCCUUGGAAUUUCAGUGAUUUACUGUGUAGUUCAUAGUGGAUUUUUAGUGUAACUAAGUAUAUCUUCAGUGUAAUUUUCUAGCGGAUAGGUAUACAGCAUAAUCCGUAGUUGUUUUUCACUGUAAUUCUUAGUUGGUUGCAGUGUAAAUCCUUUUGGUUUUGCAGUGUAAUUCCUUUUUGGGGAUUUACAGUGUAAUUCCUUUUUGGAUUUAUAGUGUUUUUGUGAGUGGAUUUACAGUGUAUUUGUGAGUGGCUUUCCAGUGUAAUUGCCUUGGAUUUACAGUGUAUUUGCAAGUGGAUUUACACUAUAAUUGGUAGUUGAUUUACAAUGUUUUUUGCAAGUGGAUUUUUCAGUGUAAUUGAAUUGGAUUUACAGUGUAUUUGCGAGUGGAUUUGCAAUGUAAUUCAUAUUGGACUUUCAAUGUAUUUGUCACUGUAUUUACAGUGUAAUUAUCAGUGUGUUCUAAAAAAAAUCUUAGUGGGCUUGCAAUGUUUUUCCUAUUUAUAGCCCAUGCCCAUGCCCUUUCCCUUUUUGUAUCCUAGUUUUCGCAUGCUUGAGUGUAUAGAUUCAGUAGAUUCUCUCCCAUUUCUCAGUGGAAAUCCUUUUAAGUAGAUUCUCCCCCAUUCAGUAGAUUUAGAACAAAUAGUGGAUGUGCAUUGCAAGCAUUGAAAUCUUCUUAGAUGGGUAGUGGGUUUAUAAUGGUUAUGUAGUGAAAUAAAAGAGAUGUAGACUGUAAAUGCUAUCAAUGCAUAUCUUCUUUAUAUUUUUGUUAUGUCUUAUCCCUUCUGCCAUUUCAUCUCAGACUUUUUGCCCUUUAAUUUGUGUCUGUAUAUAUUUAAGUUAUAGUUUAAAGUAUGGGUAGACUCAUGAAGGCUUUUGGUAAGGACACUUAUGCUGCUUGUGUUGAAGAUUCUGAUGAUUCAGAUGGGGAUCCUUUUGUCCCCAAUGAUGUUGCUGAGGAUGAUCCUUUUCAAGCUUCGGAGGAAGGUCAAAUGGAUGAUCCUGAUCUUGAGAAAGCUUUUGUAUGAGUUCUAUGUGUCUCAUAAGCGCAAGAGGUCUUCUGAUUUUCCUGUAGCAAACACAUUCACUAGAUACUUUGGCAAGUUCUUAUCCACUUUAUCCAAUUUAGGUUCUCGGGUUCAGCUAUCAAGUAGGAUAGGAGUAGAAGGUAGGGGUUUUUGGAACCUAAGAUUUCAAGGAAACUGACUCUCUUUAAUAUUUGCAUGCCGGAAAGCGACCAUGGCUAGCAGCAGCCGCAUCCCAGCCAUGAGCCAUCACCUUGGGCGAGAUCUGUGUUGCCCAGCGUGCGGACUGGCUAGCGGCGGUGCUGGCCAUUGGCACGGCAAACCCGCCCCACUGCGUGCCGCAGGGCAUCGGCAUGCGUUUCUUCCACCACACCGAUGAACUGCUCGCCACGCACCCGGACUUGUCCCUCGACGCCACCAUGGACGUUGUGGCAACCGCCGCCCCGGAGCUUGCCGCGUCGGCUGCGGUGAAUGCAAUCGCCGAGUGGGGCUGUACGGCGGGCGACAUCACCCAUCUCGUCGUCAUCACCAACGCGGGAUCGCAUGCCCUGGGCACUGGCGUCCGCUUGGUCUUGCCCUCCGCCUCGGCGUCCUGCGCAACUGAUGGUUUAUUUUUGACUAGUACUUGAUGGUUUAUUUUUGACUGUAGUACCUGAUGGUUUAUAGUGUAGUUAUUUCUUGAUUUUGCUCUGUAAUGCCCAGUGGAAUUACACUGUAUGCUAAUUGGUUUUACAUAGUAAAUCUUAGCGGUUUUACAUAGUAAUUUACACAGUAGUUUACACUGUAAUUUUAGUAAAUUCUUACUGGAUUUUACUGUAUUUGUAAGCGGGGUUUUCAGUGCCUUUUUUGUCA